GCCCUGCACAGAAGGGCUCAUGAAGUAUCUGCACUGCACAUCGUUCAGGAGGCCCAGUUGAGAGGUCCAGGCGUGAAAUGUGCAGCUCCCGUCUAGCCUCCCAGUGGAGGCUUAGAGAACACCACAGACUGAGGCCUAGCAAAGAGGAUUGUCCUAUGUGCAGAGAUUGAACACACAGACCUAUAUCUCCUGGAGCUUAGAAGAAUUGAGAGAUACUUCAAACCCACAAACAGCAAAUGAUUCACAAAUGAAAAGGGAUACUUAAAGGGCGGUGAUUCAGAAUUCCAUUAAAGAUGCCCUUAAGGGCCUGUCAGGAGCCGGGAGCCAUAAAGAAAGCAGAAUAAUAUCUCACCAGUGAUGGUGCUUUCCAGAAAGCAGAGGUGACAUAGUAACUGAAACAUGGUGGUCUUCAGUGAACACACUGGCCACAGUGCUAUUGGACUGCGUGUUUAAAGACAUCGCCGCUGGCGAAAAGCGUGAGUGGAUUAUCAAAAACUCACACAGACUUUGCCCUUCAUGUGCUAGAAAAGAAUGGGGGCUUCCCAGCUGAGCCUUAGCCUGAGCCUGUCCUCACUCAUCAGCCAUGAUCAAAAGCAAAGGGAUACUUUCCAUUCCCACAAAGUGCUCAGCUCCACUGAUGAAAGGAACCCUACGCAGAUCAACCUUGAAGAAUUGUACAUAUGUAUAG